AGCUGGCCCGAGUGCAGUGGUGGUUACAGUUAAUUGAUCACAACGACUUACAGAUUUUUUUGUUCCUUCUCCACUCCCACUGCUUCACUGGACGAGCCAAAC
ensembl:misc_RNA Y_RNA Y RNA